rnacentral:rRNA from 1 species
AGAGUUUGAUCCUGGCUCAGAUUGAACGCUGGCGGCGUGCUUAACACAUGCAAGUCGUGCGAGAAAGGGGGCUUCGGUCCCUGAGUAGAGCGGCGCACGGGUGGGUAGCGCGUGGAUAAUCUCCCCAGAAGUUCGGGAUAACGGCGGGAAACUGCCGCUAAUACCGGAUACGCUCCAAUUUCGGUUGGGGGAAAGGCGGCCUCUGUUUACAAGCUGUCGCUUCUGGAUGAGUCCGCGUCCCAUUAGCUUGUUGGUGGGGUAAUGGCCUACCAAGGCUACGAUGGGUAGCUGGUCUGAGAGGAUGAUCAGCCACACUGGAACUGAAACACGGUCCAGGCUCCUACGGGAGGCAGCAGUGGGGAAUAUUGCGCAAUGGGGGAAACCCUGACGCAGCGACGCCGUGUGAGGGAUGAAGGCUUUCGGG